rnacentral:rRNA from 1 species
AAUCGAAUCUCAGCUUGGUAAGAUUACCCGCUGAAUUUAAGCAUAUAAUUAAGCGGAGGAAAAGAAAAUAACUAUGAUUCCCUCAGUAACGGCGAGUGAAGCGGGAAGAGCUUCAUUCUGUGAAUCUGUAUGCUCUUUUGGUAUACCGAGUUGUAGAAUAUAGAAGCACAUCAGUGCGAAUUCCGGUCUAAGUCUCUUGGAAAAGAGCAGCUAAGAGGGUGAGACUCCCGUUCUUGGCUGGAAUUCAAACUUUAGCAUGUGGUUUCGACGAGUCGAGUUGCUUGGGAUUGCAGCUCAAAGUUGGUGGUAAAUUCCAUCUAAAGCUAAAUAUCGGUGGGAGACCGAUAGCGUACAAGUACCGUGAGGGAAAGAUGCAAAGAACUUUGAAAAAAGAGUUAAAGAGUACCUGAAAUUGCUGAAAUGGAAGCGAAGGAAACCAGUGCCGUUCUGUAUCAUUCUUCCGUCCUUGCUUGCGAGGGUGGCGCUGUGAUGCAGGAUAGGCCAGCGUGGGUUUGAGCCGAAGGAAGCAGCUCUUCAGGAGGCAGCGCAAUUUCUGUGCGAUUACUGUUGAGCUUUGCUUCGGCUUGGACUGAGGCUAGUCACUUGUGCUCGUGACGCUGGCGAAAUGGUUUUCUUUACCCCGUCUUGAAACACGGACCAAGGAGUCUAACAUAUGUGCGAGUAUAUGAGUGACAAACUCACAUGCGAAAUGAAAGUAACAGUGGUUGGACCUUCUGGGCACAAUCCGCCGGCCACAAUCCUUCGGGAGAAAGGUCUGAGUGUGAGCAUACAUGUUGGGACCCGAAAGAUGGUGAACUAUGCCUGAAUAGGGUGAAGCCGCGGGAAACCACGGUGGAGGCUCGUAGCGGUUCUGACGUGCAAAUCGAUCGUCAAAUUUGGGUAUAGGGGCGAAAGACUAAUCGAACCAUCUAGUAGCUGGUUCCCUCCGAAAUUUCCCUCAGGAUAGCUGCAAUCGAAUGUCAAUUUUAUCAGGUAAAGCGAAUGAUUAGAGGAUUCGGGGAAGUAAUUUCCUCGACCUAUUCUCAAACUUUAAAUGGGUAAGAACUCGGGGUUGCUUAAUUGAACCCUGUUGUCGAAUGACGGUUGCUAGUGGGCCAUAGCGGGUAAGCUGCUAUGGCGAUGCGGGAUGAUCCGAACGUUGAGUUAAAGUGCCAAAGUAUUCGCUAACCCAGAUACCACAAAAGGCGUUGGAUCAUACAGACAGCAGG